CAGCCGCCACGGUAAUACGUAGGUCCCGAGCGUUGUUCGGAUUUAUUGGGCGUAAAGCGAGCGCAGGCGGUUAGAAAAGUCUGAAGUGAAAGGCAGUGGCUCAACCAUUGUAGGCUUUGGAAACUGUUUAACUUGAGUGCAGAAGGGGAGAGUGGAAUUCAUGUGUAGCGGUGAAAUGCGUAGAUAUAUGGAGGAACACCGGUGGCGAAAGCGGCUCUCUGGUCUGUAACUGACGCUGAGGCUCGAAAGCGUGGGGAGCGAACAGGAUUAGAUACCCCAGUAGUCCCUGUCUCUUAUACAC
rnacentral:rRNA from 1 species